rnacentral:rRNA from 1 species
AUUGAACGCUGGCGGCAUGCUUUACACAUGCAAGUCGAACGGUAACAGGUUAAGCUGACGAGUGGCGAACGGGUGAGUAAUGCAUCGGAACGUGCCCGAUCGUGGGGGAUAACGCAGCGAAAGCUGCGCUAAUACCGCAUACGAUCUGAGGAUGAAAGCGGGGGACCGUAAGGCCUCGCGCGAUCGGAGCGGCCGAUGUCAGAUUAGGUAGUUGGUGGGGUAAAGGCUCACCAAGCCAACGAUCUGUAGCUGGUCUGAGAGGACGACCAGCCACCCGGGGACUGAGACACGGCCCAGACUCCUACGGGAGGCAGCAGUGGGGAAUUUUGGACAAUGGGCGAAAGCCUGAUCCAGGAAUGCCGCGUGCAGGAAGAAGGCCUUCGGGUUGUAAACUGCUUUUGUACGGAGCGAAAAGGCUCUCUCUAAUACAGGGGGCUCAUGACGGUACCGUAAGAAUAAGCACCGGCUAACUACGUGCCAGCAGCCGCGGUAA